CAGGAUUAGAUACCCUGGUAGUCCACGCCGUAAACGAUGUCGACUUGGAGGUUGUGCCCUUGAGGCGUGGCUUCCGGAGCUAACGCGUUAAGUCGACCGCCUGGGGAGUACGGCCGCAAGGUUAAAACUCAAAUGAAUUGACGGGGGCCCGCACAAGCGGUGGAGCAUGUGGUUUAAUUCGAUGCAACGCGAAGAACCUUACCUGGUCUUGACAUCCACAGAACUUUCCAGAGAUGGAUUGGUGCCCUCGGGAACUGUGAGACAGGUGCUGCAUGGCUGUCGUCAGCUCGUGUUGUGAAAUGUUGGGUUAAGUCCCGCAACGAGCGCAACCCUUAUCCUUUGUUGCCAGCGGUCCGGCCGGGAACUCAAAGGAGACUGCCAGUGAUAAACUGGAGGAAGGUGGGGAUGACGUCAAGUCAUCAUGGCCCUUACGACCAGGGCUACACACGUGCUACAAUGGCGCAUACAAAGAGAAGCGACCUCGCGAGAGCAAGCGGACCUCAUAAAGUGCGUCGUAGUCCGGAUUGGAGUCUGCAACUCGACUCCAUGAAGUCGGAAUCGCUAGUAAUCGUGGAUCAGAAUGCCACGGUGAAUACGUUCCCGGGCCUUGUACACACCGCCCGUCACACCAUGGGAGUGGGUUGCAAAAGAAGUAGGUAGCUUAACCUUCGGGAGGGCGCUUACCACUUUGUGAUUCAUGACUGGGGUGAAGUCGUAACAAGGUAACC
rnacentral:rRNA from 1 species